rnacentral:miRNA from 1 species
UCUCCACAGUGGUGUUGGAUGAGCCCUCGGAGGACUCCAUUUGUUUUGAUGAUGGAUUCUUACGCUCCAUCAUCGUCUCAAAUGAGUCUUCAGAGGGUUCUAUCAUUUCGUCGGAUGGAAAGGAGUGUUCUC